rnacentral:rRNA from 1 species
GAUGAACGCUGGCGGCGUGCCUAAUACAUGCAAGUCGAGCGAACGGACGAGAAGCUUGCUUCUCUGAUGUUAGCGGCGGACGGGUGAGUAACACGUGGAUAAUCUACCUAUAAGACUGGGAUAAUUUCGGGAAACCGGCGCUAAUACCGGAUAAUAUUUUGAACCGCAUGGUUCAAAAGUGAAAGACGGUCUUGCUGUCACUUAUAGAUGGACCCGCGCGGCAUUAGCUAGUUGGUAAGGUAACGGCUUACCAAGGCAACGAUGCAUAGCCGACCUGAGAGGGUGAUCGGCCACACUGGAACUGAGACACGGUCCAGACUCCUACGGGGGGAGGCAGUAGGGAAUCUUCCGCAAUGAGGGGAAGCCUGCCGGGGCAACGCCGCGUGAGUGAUGAAGGUCUUCGGAUGGUAAAACUCUGUUAUUAGGAAAGAACAUAUGUGUAAGUAUCUGUGCGCAUCUUGACGGUACCUAAUCAGAAAGCCACGGCUAACUACGUG